CAGUAGCCGCGGUAAUACAGAGGGUGCGAGCGUUAAUCGGAUUUACUGGGCGUAAAGCGUGCGUAGGCGGCUUCUUAAGUCGGAUGUGAAAUCCCUGAGCUUAACUUAGGAAUUGCAUUCGAUACUGGGAAGCUAGAGUAUGGGAGAGGAUGGUAGAAUUCCAGGUGUAUCGGUGAAAUGCGUAGAGAUCUGGAGGAAUACCGAUGGCGAAGGCAGCCAUCUGGCCUAAUACUGACGCUGAGGUACGAAAGCAUGGGGAGCAAACAGGAUUAGAUACCCCCGUAGUCCCUGUCUCUUAUAC
rnacentral:rRNA from 1 species